rnacentral:lncRNA from 1 species
AACCGAAGUAUUAUAAAUUACUUUAACGUUUUGUUACCUUAAUAUUAUCGAGAGCCUGAUUUUUGUUGCUAUCAGGCAUGUGAUGCCAUAAUUCGUAGUUGAGGGGUAACAUAUUAGCAUUUCAUGCUAUAAUGCCCAAAUAGCCUGCUAAAAGUCGAGCUUCAGAUCCAACAGGCUAACCAUGACUAUUUCUAUUUAC